CUCCUUGACGUUAGCGGCGGACGGGUGAGUAACACGUGGGUAACCUACCUAUAAGACUGGGAUAACUUCGGGAAACCGGAGCUAAUACCGGAUAAUAUUCGAACCGCAUGGUUCGAUAGUGAAAGGUGGUUUUGCUAUAACUUAUAGAUGGACCCGCGCCGUAUUAGCUAGUUGGUAAGGUAACGGCUUACCAAGGCGACGAUACGUAGCCGACCUGAGAGGGUGAUCGGCCACACUGGAACUGAGACACGGUCCAGACUCCUACGGGAGGCAGCAGGC
rnacentral:rRNA from 1 species